rnacentral:rRNA from 1 species
UUCUUCGGAGAGUUUGAUCCUGGCUCAGGACGAACGCUGGCGGCGUGCCUAAUACAUGCAAGUCGAGCGAAUCGAUGGGAGCUUGCUCCCUGAGAUUAGCGGCGGACGGGUGAGUAACACGUGGGCAACCUGCCUAUAAGACUGGGAUAACUUCGGGAAACCGGAGCUAAUACCGGAUACGUUCUUUUCUCGCAUGAGAGAAG